rnacentral:piRNA from 1 species
UGAGCCAAGGGGAUUGUGGGAUUGA